AGCGGUUGCUGUUUACGACUUGUUCAUAUAUCGCUUUGUAGUGCUGUAAUGUGCAAAUUAGCGGACUUUAUAGCGGCUCUCUAUUUUCCGUCGUUGUCUUUCGAGCAGCGCCUGUUGUUCCGGUAAAAAUCGAGUUGAAUGAAUCGCCACAGCCCCAACGUAUAUCGCGCAGUGUUGACCAAGACCAAGUCAAGCAGGAAUUCUGGCAUGGUAUGUGGCUGCACGAAGGAUUCCGAAAAAGAAAAACAACAACAUGGCUAAUAGGAUGUUGCUGCCCAGGGAGUCCUGGCGAAGAGGUUUACUCAUUCCAGAAGCAAGAAUUGUAUCAUUGUAAGGCGAAUGGAAAUAAACUGACAUCGACUGAGAUAGGUGCUCUGUCAUGGCCAAUGACUGUAGGAUGGCUCCAAAAGCGUCACAACAAAGCCAAUAUUCAUCUAGCUCUCUACAAGUAGCUAACUCCACAUAGUAGCCUGCUUCA